GGCGGAAAUAACUCAGGGGUAGAGUGUCAGUUUGUGGUUCUGAAAGUCACGGGUUCAAAUCCCGUUUUUCGCC
rnacentral:tRNA from 1 species